rnacentral:rRNA from 1 species
GAUCCUGAAACCGCAUGCAUACAAGCAGUGGGAGCACCUUCGUGGUGUGACUGCGUACCUUUUGUAUAAUGGGUCAGCGACUUAUAUUCAGUAGCGAGGUUAACCGUAUAGGGGAGCCGUAGAGAAAUCGAGUCUUAAUAGGGCGUUUAGUUGCUGGGUAUAGACCCGAAACCAGGCGAUCUAUCCAUGAGCAGGUUGAAGGUUGGGUAACACUAACUGGAGGACCGAACCCACUGUCGUUGAAAAGCCAGGGGAUGACUUGUGGAUAGGGGUGAAAGGCUAAUCAAGCCUGGUGAUAGCUGGUUCUCCCCGAAAGCUAUUUAGGUAGCGCCUCGGACGAAUACCAUAGGGGGUAGAGCACUGUUUCGGCUAGGGGGUCAUCCCGACUUACCAAACCGAUGCAAACUCCGAAUACCUAUGAGUACUAUCCGGGAGACAGACUGCGGGUGCUAACGUCCGUAGUCAAGAGGAAAACAAUCCAGACCGCCAGCUAAGGCCCCAAAAUCAUAGUUAAGUGGGAAACGAUGUGGGAAGGCAUAGACAGCUAGGAGGUUGGCUUAGAAGCAGCCACCCUUUAAAGAAAGCGUAAUAGCUCACUAGUCGAGUCGGCCUGCGCGGAAGAUGUAACGGGGCUAAAACUAUGUGCCGAAGCUGCGGAUGUAUACUUUGUAUACGUGGUAGGGGAGCGUUCUGUAAGCCGAUGAAGGUGUGUUGAGAAGCAUGCUGGAGGUAUCAGAAGUGCGAAUGCUGACGUGAGUAACGACAAAACGGGUGAAAAACCCGUUCGCCGAAAGACCAAGGGUUCCAGUCCAACGUUAAUCGGGGCUGGGUGAGUCGACCCCUAAGGCGAGGCCGAAAGGCGUAGUCGAUGGGAAAAUGGUUAAUAUUCCAUUACUUCUGUGUAAUGCGAUGAGAGGACGGAGAAGGCUAAAUCAGCCUGGCGUUGGUUGUCCAGGUGAAAGGAUGUAGGCAUGUAUCUUAGGCAAAUCCGGGGUACUCUAUGCUGAGAUCUGAUAGCAAGCUGUACUUGUACAGCGAAGUGGUUGAUGCCAUGCUUCCAGGAAAAGUCUCUAAGCUUCAGUUACACAGGAAUCGUACCCGAAACCGACACAGGUGGUCAGGUCGAGUAGACCAAGGCGCUUGAGAGAACUCUGCUGAAGGAACUAGGCAAAAUGGUACCGUAACUUCGGGAGAAGGUACGCUGUUGUUGGUGAUGGAACUCGCUUCCUGAGCUGACGACAGCCGCAGAAACCAGGCCGCUGCAACUGUUUAUUAAAAACAUAGCACUCUGCAAACACGAAAGUGGACGUAUAGGGUGUGAUGCCUGCCCGGUGCUGGAAGGUUAAUUGAUGGGGUUAGCGUAAGCGAAGCUCUUGAUCGAAGCCCCAGUAAACGGCGGCCGUAACUAUAACGGUCCUAAGGUAGCGAAAUUCCUUGUCGGGUAAGUUCCGACCUGCACGAAUGGCAUAAUGAUGGCGGCGCUGUCUCCAGCAGAGGCUCAGUGAAAUCGAAAUCGCUGUGAAGAUGCAGUGUACCCGCGGCUAGACGGAAAGACCCCGUGAACCUUUACUGCAGCUUGACACUGAACUUUGACCUUACUUGUGUAGGAUAGGUGGGAGGCUUUGAAGCUGGAACGCUAGUUCCAGUGGAGCCGUCCUUGAAAUACCACCCUGGUAAUGUUGAGGUUCUAACUCUGUCCCGUGAUCCGGGACGAGGACCGUGUCUGGUGGGUAGUUUGACUGGGGCGGUCUCCUCCUAAAGAGUAACGGAGGAGUACGAAGGUGCGCUCAGCGUGGUCGGAAAUCACGCGUAGAGUAUAAAGGCAAAAGCGCGCUUAACUGCGAGACCCACAAGUCGAGCAGGUACGAAAGUAGGUCUUAGUGAUCCGGUGGUUCUGUAUGGAAGGGCCAUCGCUCAACGGAUAAAAGGUACUCUGGGGAUAACAGGCUGAUACCGCCCAAGAGUUCAUAUCGACGGCGGUGUUUGGCACCUCGAUGUCGGCUCAUCUCAUCCUGGGGCUGAAGCAGGUCCCAAGGGUAUGGCUGUUCGCCAUUUAAAGAGGUACGCGAGCUGGGUUUAGAACGUCGUGAGACAGUUCGGUCCCUAUCUACCGUGGGCGCUGGAAAUUUGAGAGGAUCUGCUCCUAGUACGAGAGGACCAGAGUGGACGAACCUCUGGUGUACCGGUUGUGACGCCAGUCGCAUCGCCGGGUAGCUAUGUUCGGAAGGGAUAACCGCUGAAAGCAUCUAAGCGGGAAGCCUACCUCAAGAUAAGAUUUCCCUAGGACUUUAUGUCCUCUAAAGAGCCGUUCGAGACUAGGACGUUGAUAGGUUGGAUGUGGAAGCAUAGUGAUAUGUGAAGCUGACCAAUACUAAUUGCUCGUGAGGCUUGACUAU